AGCCGCCAUGCCUAGUUAGCUCUUUUCCACCUAAUUUUUGGACCACCUUGGACGAUUUGACUUGGAGCGUGGAUUUCUUCAGUAGGGGCUCAAGCAUUGCAACCUCGACCUAGGUUAGGACCUCGUUGCUUGGAAAGCACACUCGUCUUGCGGUUAGGACUCGUCGAGUAAAUCUCCA